UCCCUUAACAGACUCUUUUCACAUGAGUCCACACAUGAGUUCAUUGUGAGAAUCAAACCCAUGAUUUCAGAGGUGAAAUGCGCUUGUUCUGCCAUGACUGCGCCACCGAAGAAGCACCAAUUAAAAAGUCAAAGUUUUUGUUUACCAUGCAACCUCAAAUAUCAAAUAAAAUAUAUCCGAUACCUACCCCUGACCAAAAUAUUUACAAAAGGAUGCUAUUAAUUCAGUUUUCACACACGUCCUUUACAGCACUUCUGUGACAUGACUGUCAUGGUGACACUAUUUGCCUCCUGAUAAGUUGGAAAAUGAU